UACGGAGGAUGCAAGUGUUAUCCGGAAUCACUGGGCGUAAAGCGUCUGUAGGUCGUUUAAAAAGUCUACUGUUAAAAAUUGAAGCUUAACUUCAAAGAUGCCGUAGAAACUUUUAAACUUGAGUAUGGUAGGGGUAGAGGGAAUUUCCAGUGGAGCGGUGAAAUGCGUAGAUAUUGGAAAGACCACCAAUGGCGAAGGCACUCUACUGGGCCAUUACUGACACUGAGAGACGAAAGCUAGGGGAGCAAAUGGG
rnacentral:rRNA from 1 species